AAAAGAUCAACCCCAGCCCACUUCAAUAAGUUUCCACUUUCCAAUCAUCUGGACAUCUUCCACCGUCAAAGUUGCCACCUACCGCCGUGGCAGCAACCCCCGAGCUAUCUACUUUGACUUGAGGAUGUUGUUGUGUUAAAAAUAUUGGAUGCAAGACAUGAUGGAGAGUAGCUCAACCUGUUAUUUUUUGGUUGGAAGAUUGGGAUCAUCAAGCUCAAGUUAUUGUAUUUUAUUUAUUUUUUAUUAUUGAUUUUGAUUUAUGUUAUUUUAUUAGAUUUUUAUUAGUUAGUGGUUUUUAAAUUUAAAUUUAAUUUUGAUUAGAGUUUUAUUACUUAUAUGUAAAUUUUUUUCAUAUCAUAAAUUUUGAUGAAUUAAAUAAAAUUUACAAAGUUCUCUUUCUUUAACUUCUUUUCUUCUUAUUAGGCUUCAAAUUCCGCAUCACGUUGUAUGAUUCUCUUUGAACCUCUUGCAUUACGAAGAGUCAGUCAUUUGAUGUUUGGUGUCCACGAAGAAAACCUGGCUUUUGGAGGUUCAAGAAUUGUCAUUGAAUGGAUACAAGAAUUAUAUUGCCCUGGUAUUUUACGCAGUUUCAAGAAUCAGUGCUCUGGUCCUGGUCCAUUUUUUCUUAUGUGCUGUGUAUGAUUAGGCUUUUCUUGUCUUGUGUCAGAAUUAUUGCAUUUUAGGUGAAUUUAGAAUCUUGUGACAGCUAUUAUUUCAAACCAUCCACAGUAGUCGAGCAUCAUAUAUAGUGUUAGGAAAGGCUGGCUUUUUCCAUAUAAAACAAAUAUUGAAUUGGAAACUACAUUGAACAUUGAAGGAGAACUUUACCUCCAAAGUUUGGCCAGUUUCAUUGAGAAAUUGCUUGCAUUUACAUAACCUGUUGAUUUCAAUUAAGCUGCUCAAAUAUCUUGAAUAGCUAUAAAAUCUCCAACCUUGCUUCCUAAUUGCUUUUGGUCCUCAUAUUGACCUGGAAGAGAGUGUGCCCUGCCUUCUUGACUUGUUUAUGAACCUAUCAGAAAUACAGAAAGAGUUUGUGUUGUUAUUUUCUUUUCUUUUUUUUUGGGUAUUUUCUUUUGUCAAGUUUAAAUUUUCUUUAGCUUCCUGGUAAAUCAAGUUAACAAAAAUUCUGCAAUUAUGCUCUGCUUUAUUAUCAUUUCAUUGUGAGUUAUGGGGGGCAGCCCCAUUAGGAUUCUUGUCAAUCACCUCACUAAAUAUAUACUAGUCAGUUUUAGACAGUUUAAACGUAACUACCCUAAUUUACCAUAUCGUCUUUAUUAUUAUGAAGCUUUAUCUUACUAUCUUGGAGCGUGCCUUGUGUAUUUUGGGGUGGUAGGUUUUCUUCCUGAACUUGUUCACCCAUAUGGAUCUGUUCUUCAAGCAGUGAAGAGGGUUGUGUUUUUCUGGGUUGAGUCAUGUCAAACUGAGACAUCUUACGUCAUUAGAUGUAGCAUUUUUAUCAGAAAUGAGUUAGUCUUGCCUGGAUUGUUUGAGGGAAUAUUUCUACACGAUCCCACUUUGUCCCUGUCAAUCAAGUCGCGGGGUACUGGACAGAGAUUGCUGUGCCUCGUAAAAAAGAUUCUAGAAGUUGGACAUCACUUAAUGAGGCAAGUGUUCGGUGAAGAAAGCAAUUAUGUCUACCACUAAUGAACCAUGUGCUUACAUUUGGCUUUUGAAUGUUGAUUGUACACAUUCCCUAUUUGCCAGAUGUGAGAUGGACCUGAAUUUUCGUUUUUUUGUUUACUAUUGUGUUCAUGUAGAUGUAGGCCUAGAUAAGAAGUUAAACUUUCUGGAAGUUAAACAUGAUGCGACAAGUUGAUAGUAGUUAUGAACAGUGAUUUCUUUUUCUUUUUUAUUAUUCUCUAGUCACCUGACUACUUAAAAUCUACCUAAGACUGGCUUUUCAUUUGUUUAUCUGGAUCAUUAAACAGUUUUGACGAUUCUGUAUGGUCAUGGCCCUAAGUGACUUGCAAUUAGAAGAUUUGUGGACCAUUUCUUCUUUCGAAGCUGGAUUAUGAUGUUGCAUAUGCUCCAGUGGAAGAUUAGUUACUGAGGGCGAAUUCUCUUGAAAAUGGAUGAAAAUGAAAGCAAGCCACUUUGUUUGUUGUUACACUUGAAAUGGUUCCAUUCUCUUCGUUUUCCUUUGCCAUUCUUGAUGCAGUUACAAAAGAUGGAAUUGCUUCUUUUCACUUCUAAAACAAUGAGUCUAUGUGCAGUCUGCCGAUGAGUGUAAAUUACUUGGUUUUGUUUUAUCUGUGCAGGAAGCCAAAACCUUUUGAAGUUCCGAAAAAAGUGACCUGAACCUUGCAGCAAGAACAAUUUCCAGAGGAUUUGAGUCUCUCAAUGAAGCAGCAAUAUUCGUUACUGUUUUGAGCAUUCAUUUAUAGAAGAUGCCUGCAUCAUUAAUGUAUUUCUUUCUUUCUGUGCAUGGAUUGUUAUUUUAACUUUGCAUUUCGAGAGUUGCGAGUAGUUAGCUGAUUCCUUUCUCUUCAUAUCAAAUGCAUAUAAAAAUGUAAAUAGAGUAAUGACACACUGCUCAUGUCAUUUUGGCGUGCGUUUGACAUGAAAUUGCAUCAGUAUUAUAUCUAAUUUUUUACUUUGCUGGGAUGGUGAAUCGUUUCCUUUUGUUUCUCUUUUCCUGAUUCUUGAGGCCAUAUCCUUCUCAUCUUCUUUCCAUGCUAUUGGCUUUGUGAGAUCUCCUCUCUAAUGGGUCCCUUUAAAGAAUAAUAAUCGAUGAGAGGCACCUUUGCUUAAAUGACUUUUGAUUCACCAGACCUUCUCCUUCUGACCUAAAAAAAUACGGGGCCCGUUUGGCAUCAUCCCAGAAUCUCCUUUACCUGUUGUGGAAUAAAUUAAAGCAAGAAAGGAGCCUUCAAGUACAGCAGCUGGUUAAAGAGAAAGGGAAAGCGAUUAACGCAGCAAGCUAGACAUUCUGAUUAUAUGGCACCUAUCAGAUGGCAGUUCUUUGGAGAUCAAUCAUUGGAUUUUGAUUCCAGUGAUCAAAGCCCUAAACCGCAACCCAAGAAAUCCAAAUAUCGAUCUGAUUUAAUCGACUUUUACGAUUUGUUGUUGGCCAUUUUGGCUUCCCUUUUUCUUUUUCUUUUUCUUUUCAUUUCCUUUGUUUUCUUUUAUGGGUGAAAAUUUCUUUUCUCAGUUUCUGCAUGGAUAUGGACUACAGGCUUAAAGCUAACAUUCCCUUUGGAGUAUAUUUCUUUAUUUAUUAGCAAGAGACUUUUAUGCUGAGCAGUCCAGUAGAUUGUUUUCA